AUUUAAUUAUGAUAAUUUAUUCCUAAACCUUCAAAAGGCGGAAUAAUUUGGAUGUUUGUUAAU
rfam:Stegodyphus mimosarum contig75391, whole genome shotgun sequence.